rnacentral:rRNA from 1 species
UACGUAGGUCCCGAGCGUUGUCCGGAUUUAUUGGGCGUAAAGCGAGCGCAGGUGGUUUAUUAAGUCUAGUGUAAAAGGCAGUGGCUCAACCAUUGUAUGCAUUGGAAACUGGUAGACUUGAGUGCAGGAGAGGAGAGUGGAAUUCCAUGUGUAGCGGUGAAAUGCGUAGAUAUAUGGAGGAACACCGGUGGCGAAGGCGGCUCUCUGGUCUGCAGCUGACGCUGAGGCUCGAAAGCAUGGGUAGCGAACAGG